AGAGUUUGAUCAUGGCUCAGAACGUACGCUGGCGGCACGCCUAACACAUGCAAGUCGAACGAAGUAGCAAUACUUAGUGGCAGACGGGUGAGUAACAUGUGGGUAUCUGCCCUUUGGCCUGGAAUAACACGAGGAAACUUGUGCUAAUACCGGAUAAGUCUUUACGGAGAAAGCUUUAUGCACCAUUGGAUGAGCCCGCACUUGAUUAGUUUGUUGGUGGGGUAAUGGCCUACCAAGACUGUGAUCAAUAGCUGAUUUGAGAGGAUGAUCAGCCACAUUGGGACUGAGACACGGCCCAAACUCCUACGGGAGGCAGCAGUGGGGAAUCUUGCACAAUGGAGGAAACUCUGAUGCAGCGAUGCCGCGUGAGUGAAGAAGGCCUUUGGGUUGUAAAGCUCUUUCGUCGGGGAAGAAAAUGACUGUACCCGAAUAAGAAGGUCCGGCUAACUUCGUGCCAGCAGCCGCGGUAAUACGAAGGGACCUAGCGUAGUUCGGAAUUACUGGGCUUAAAGAGUUCGUAGGUGGUUGAAAAAGUUGGUGGUGAAAUCCCAGAGCUUAACCCUGGAACUGCCAUCAAAACUUUUCAGCUAGAGUAUGAUAGAGGAAAGCAGAAUUUCUAGUGUAGAGGUGAAAUUCGUAGAUAUUAGAAAGAAUACCAAUUGCGAAGGCAGCUUUCUGGAUCAUUACUGACACUGAGGAACGAAAGCAUGGGUAGCGAAGAGGAUUAGAUACCCUCGUAGUCCAUGCCGUAAACGAUGUGUGUUAGACGUUGGAAAUUUAUUUUCAGUGUCGCAGCGAAAGCGAUAAACACACCGCCUGGGGAGUACGACCGCAAGGUUAAAACUCAAAUGAAUUGACGGGGACCCGCACAAGUAGUGGAGCAUGUGGUUUAAUUCGAAGAUACGCGCAGAACCUUACCAACACUUGACAUGUUCGUCGCGACUUUAAGAGAUUAAAGUUUUCGGUUCGGCCGGACGAAACACAGGUGCUGCAUGGCUGUCGUCAGCUCGUGUCGUGAGAUGUUGGGUUAAGUCCCGCAACGAGCGCAACCCUCACUUUUAGUUGCCAUCAUUAAGUUGGGCACUCUGAAAGAACUGCCAGUGAUAAGCUGGAGGAAGGUGGGGAUGACGUCAAGUCCUCAUGGCCCUUACGUGUUGGGCUACACACGUGCUACAAUGGUAUCUACAACAGGAAGCAAGACUGCGAAGUUAAGCAAAUCCUUAAAAGAUACCUCAGUUCGGAUUGCACUCUGCAACUCGAGUGCAUGAAGCUGGAAUUACUAGUAAUCGUGGAUCAGCGUGCCACGGUGAAUGCGUUCCCGGGUCUUGUACACACCGCCCGUCACACCAUGGGAGUUGGUUCUACCUUAAGGCAAGGUUUCAAACCCUUGACCACGGUAUAGUCAGCGACUGGGGUGAAGUCGUAACAAGGUA
rnacentral:rRNA from 2 species